rnacentral:lncRNA from 1 species
ACUUUGUGGAGAUUUGUUAGAUAAAUUUUAGAUAGGUAUCAAUUGAGUGUUUGCAAGGAUGCUGCACAGAUAAGAGUAGGGCUAUGUAGAAUAGAUAUUAAUUCAUUUUUGAAAGAUAUUGAUAAAAUAUAUUAAUAAUCCAUAUAAUAGGAAAUUGAGGAAGAUGGAUGAGUGAUUUAGUUAUUAAAAGUAGUUAAUUACAAAAUUAUGGUUAGAAUCUGGAAAAUCAAGAAAAAGUGUAUAGAAGUUGUAGAAGUUAAUUAGGAUGCGAGACUGUGAUAGUCAUGAGCUGAGGGCCAUCACUGUAAUAGUAUGAGCCAAGGUAAGCUUGGUGCUACCUCUUUUCUUUUGUUUGUUAUUUUCUUU